UGUUGCAAGAUCUACCACAGUCUCCAUUUUCUUAACCUUGUUUUUUCAGGCCAAAAUCGUCUCAUUACUGCAGCCAGCCCCUUCUCUACAACCUGGUUGGAAGCAUCGUCUUCACUUUCUUUGCCCUGGGGCUGGCCUUGCUCCUCGUCACGAUUGAGCCUGUUCCCUGGGAGCUGCAGAUUGUCUUUGCUGCCUUCGGAGUCGCAUCCUUUGCAGAAGGAGCUUGCACGACUGCCCUGACAGCCUCAGCAAGGCAAUGUGCCAGAACCACUCCUGAACUGUAUUAUCUGUCCGUGACGCUCUCAGUGAGCUGUACGAUAUCGGCUGCCUUUUUCUCUUUCCUGGGAUUCUUCUGGAUCGCCAACAUAGUUUCUCCUGGGCUGGUACUGAAGAAGGACAAGAAGACUGGAAUCUGUUACAAGCCAGUCUCUGAAUGCAGCUGCCUGUGGCAUGUUUGAGCCUCAAUGCGCCAGACACCGAGUUCACAGAGCUCUUCAGCAAUAUCCCUCCUACUACAGGCAUCCUGUUAAACUGCCGGCCAUGCCCGCAUCUCUCCACCAUGGAGAAACGUCACUGAUCUCUACAGCGGCCACAGUGGGGAGGGCUUUCAGAACCAGAGAUAUUUAUAGCCAGAGUCUUUAACUAUUAAUGGAUACCAAUAUGAGGCAGCUUUGUGUGCUGAAAGGGCUUGGCUUGAGCGAUUUUUUAAAAAGUAAAUGGAGUUUUGGCAGACAGGUUUUCACCACCCACAUUAAAAAAAAAAAAAAGCACCCUCAUUCUUCGGCGGGUGCAAAAGCAGUACCCAAACCUUUGUGU